UAAAACGGAGCCUUUGGGGCUGUCAGUGGAGUGGGGCAUCUGGAAGGGCCCCAGGCUCGGACCGCUUGGGUGGCGCUUUUGUUCCCUCCCUGUGCGGCUCUGAACAGCUGACCUCUCUGUUAUAAAGGCCACUUUGCAGAGCUGGGGAGACCACAACAGACCAGGCAUGGGGCCGAGCUGGGCAUGCCAACCUGGAGUAAAAUGCCAGGGCCUGCCUCCUGGGUCGGCAAACCCAGCAGGGAGCCCCACAGAAAAGGCCCUGGGCCACGCCAGGACCUGGGUCUCAGGCUACCCUCUGCGGUGAGGCUGGGAGCAGGGGUGUGACUUGAGGGGCCUUGGCUGCUGUGUCCACACAGCUGGUCCCUAAGGGUCCUUUAGCAACCCCGGCCAGGGAUGGGGCAGGGACAGGCAGCCGAGAGGGGAGGGGGGAUCGAGGCUGCCUGAAGGCGUUGUGGUGGCAGCAGCUCCCAUGGUCACGGUCACCUUGUCCAGGGAAGCCUCUCCCAGAAGCCUGGCCCCGGCCGGGUGGUGUCUGGCUUUAGAGGAACCACUGAAAGCUUCACCCUUGGACUGUUACGCUCUUGGGCAGCAGGAGCUGUGCGAAUUGCAUGGUCACAGCCUGAGCGUCGGACUCAGCCUCUGGUUGUUCGCCAAGCGUUUAGUAAGUUCUGACUGUAUGCAAGUGCUGUGCCUGGGGUGGGGGUGGGAACAGGACAGGCUGGGACGGACGCCGCGCUCCACGGGCUCUGAAAGCAGACAGGAUGCAGAGCUGGAGGCAACGUGAUUCAAGCCUCCUAGACUCCAGGGCGGGAGCAGGUGACAGGAGAAGCCACCUGAUGUUUGAUGCCGGUCCCUGAGCCAGCCUGGGUGCCUCUUCCCUGCUGGCCAAGGGCCGCAGCCCCAGGAAACCUCCCCCCGGGGGCCCUGGAGUGCACCUCGCAGUGAGACGAAGAGAGACUUAGACACACACACACACGUGUGCACACGGGCUCCGAGAGCGAGCCCCAGGCAGGACGCCUCGCCCGACGGGCGGUCUGCGGUCUCUCUUCCUGUCCUUCUUUUGAGCCAGCUGUUCAUCUUGGGAUCACAGAUUCACGGGCAGGUGUUCUCUGGAAAUUCAUCCACAUCGUUCACGUGUCAGCAGUUGGAGCCUUUUGUCCGCUGAGGAGAUCUCACGGUCGGGAAGAACCACCCACUUUUGGUGAUUAUAUGUCAAGACGCCGUCAACACGCGUGGGCAGGUUUUGGUGUGAACGUGUGUUUUCAUUUCUCCUAGAUGAAUCUCCAGGGGUGGGUGCCAUCCCUGGAUCACCCUGUGGUCAUGUGUGCAUGUAGUUUUUAGAGAAGCCGCCCCAUCUUCCCUCCCGCCGGUGAGGCCGGGGCCCAGGUCUCCACCUUCCCUUGGCUGUUGCUGCUGUGUUUCCUUUUAGCCAGUUGGAUAGGAUGGCGUCCCUACCUCUCAGCGCCUCCGUAUCCUCGACUGUGCAAUGCAGCCAUGACCCACUCAUGGGGCUUUUCAAGGAAGCUGCCAAGGCAGGGCACCUGCCGGAGGUGACGCUUUGCAAAGACGCGUGUAGAUAAGAGCUUAUCGUUAGUGUCACAAGGGAUAAACAAGCCGGAGCCUUGGAAACUCAGGCUGUCCAUCUUUCCUUCCUCCUCUCCCUCCUUACGGGCCAGGGGGCCCCGUCUCACCCCCCAUGCGGAGGGUGGUGGAGAGUUGCAUUAUUUUGGGCUGAAGCGCCUGGCGCCAUUCCCCCCUCCCCCGCCCCACCCUGAGGUGCUCCCUGUUCUCUGGGGAAGGGGAGGCAGGUGCCAGAGCCCUCUUUACCGGGGAGGAAACGGGCUGGAGGGAGAGGGGUGAGGCUGGCCACCUGCUUCUCCACCCCGUGUUGCUCUCCUGCCCUGGCAAACUGCCGGGGGGUUAGCACCAGAACCCAGGACAGGAGGCCCUCCUCUGCCCACUUUACAGAUGACAAAACUGAGGCCUGGGUGCCAGUAAAGGGACGAGCGUGGUCCAGACACCCAUCUCUCUGGCCCGAAGCUCUGGCUUUUCCCCCUCUGAGGCAGAGCUGGGGUGGGAGAGUGAGCCCUCAGAGGGCGGCUGGGAGGGGAAGAGCAGGUGUUAUUGGAACAGCGACGGGAGUGUCAAGGAGAGAGUUACAAGCCAGGGAGAGGCGCCCUCUGGACACUGAGAAUCUCAAGACUGGGGCCUCUGUUCAUGUCGGGCACCCAGCCUCGGCCUGCGAGGCACGGAGGGAAGCCGGGCGAGGACCAUGGCAGGGCCAGGAGUGAGAUGAGGGUGCCGGGGCUGGGGCGGGAGGGCGGCAGGGGACAGAGUGGGCGAGUUGUGGCUGUGCUUUGCAGGUGACUGGACUGCUGACGGCUGGGACGGGUGCCCUGAAAAGAGGGGGCAAGGCGGGGACCCUUGGCUCUCACUUGGGCACCUGGGUGGAUGGCGGGGACAUCACAGGGAAGAAGUCACGGGUAGUGGGUUCAGGAGUCCUGUGCACCAUGUGGAAUGGGGGGAGCCCCGUGGCCAUCAGGCGGACACUUCCACCUGCGGGAGCUGGACGUCCGGAGGGGACAUCAGGGCUGGAGGUCUCUGCACAGGGGUGAUGCUUAAUGCGGAAGAAGGGCCAGAAUGAGACCACCCAGGGCGUGUGUGGGCAGAGAAGAGAAGAGACCACGGCUCCUUGGCGAGUCCUGUUGCCAAUGGCAGUGACUGGCUCGUCUCGCUCUGAUGGAUUUUUGCGCUUUGAGCUCUGCGGUCUCAAUGUAACAUGGAAUGGUAAUAAAAAUUGCCCUGCGGCCGGGA